rnacentral:ncRNA from 2 species
UACAGAGGGUGCAAGCGUUAAUCGGAAUUACUGGGCGUAAAGCGUGCGUAGGCGGACUUUUAAGUCAGAUGUGAAAGCCCUGGGCUUAACCUAGGAAUUGCAUAUGAUACUGGGAGACUAGAGUAUAGCAGAGGAUAGUGGAAUUUCUGGUGUAGCGGUGAAAUGCGUAGAUAUCAGAAGGAACACCAGUGGCGAAGGCGACUGUCUGGGCUAAUACUGACGCUGAGGUACGAAAGCGUGGGUAGCGAACAGG